rnacentral:rRNA from 1 species
CUGGUAGUCCAUGCCGUAAACGGUGGGCGCUAGGUGUAGGGGGCUUCCACGUCUUCUGUGCCGUAGCUAACGCAUUAAGCGCCCCGCCUGGGGAGUACGGCCGCAAGGCUAAAACUCAAAGGAAUUGACGGGGGCCCGCACAAGCGGCGGAGCAUGUGGAUUAAUUCGAUGCAACGCGAAGAACCUUACCUGGGCUUGACAUAUAGCGGAUCGCUGCAGAGAUGUAGUUUCCCUUUGUGGUCGUUAUACAGGUGGUGCAUGGUUGUCGUCAGCUCGUGUCGUGAGAUGUUGGGUUAAGUCCCGCAACGAGCGCAACCCUUGUCUUAUGUUGCCAGCAUUUGGUUGGGGACUCAUGAGAGACUGCCGGGGUCAACUCGGAGGAAGGUGGGGAUGACGUCAAAUCAUCAUGCCCCUUAUGUCCAGGGCUUCACACAUGCUACAAUGGUCGGUACAACGCGCAGCGACACUGUGAGGUGGAGCGAAUCGCUGAAAGCCGGCCUUAGUUCGGAUUGGGGUCUGCAACUCGACCCCAUGAAGUCGGAGUCGCUAGUAAUCGCAGAUCAGCAACGCUGCGGUGAAUACGUUCCCGGGCCUUGUACACACCGCCCGUCACGUCAUGAAAGUUGGUAAC